GACGAACGCUGGCGGCGUGCUUAACACAUGCAAGUCGAACGGAAAGGCCUCUUUCGGGGGGUACUCGAGUGGCGAACGGGUGAGUAACACGUGAGUAACUUGCCCUUGACUUUGGGAUAACUUCAGGAAACUGGGGCUAAUACAGGAUAGGAGCUCCUGCUGCAUGGUGGGGGUUGGAAAGUUUCGGCGGUUGGGGAUGGACUCGCGGCUUAUCAGCUUGUUGGUGGGGUAGUGGCUUACCAAGGCUUUGACGGGUAGCCGGCCUGAGAGGGUGACCGGCCACAUUGGGACUGAGAGACGGCCCAGACUCCUACGGGAGGCAGCAGUGGGGAAUAUUGCACGAGGGGUGGAGGCCUGAUGCAGCAACGCCGUGUGCGGGAUGACGGCCUUCUGGUUGUAAACCGCUUUCGCUCAUGACGAAGCUUUGUGUGACGGUAGUGGGUAAAGAAGCACCGGCUAACUACGUG
rnacentral:rRNA from 1 species